GGGAAUGUAGCUUAGUGGUAGAGUAUGUGCUUAGCAUGCAUGAAACCCUGGGUUCGAUUCCUCAGUACCA
rnacentral:tRNA from 1 species